GCUAGGCAGAAUCCCUGGGAAACUGCCAAGAGGGGAAAAGUACUGAGGAAAGCUGGUUGAUUUUUAAAGAGAUUUCAAAACCAACUACCCUCUUAUGCAAGAAGACCAGGGAAUUUAGCAGAAACUUGGCCUUGCUUGACUCAGCAAGGAGCUUCUUAAAGGAUUAAAAUACAAAAAGAGAAAUUGCAAGUAGUGGAAACGUGGACAGGCAACAAAGGUAGAGUACCAGCGUUCAGACCCAUAGGGAUGAAAUCAGGAAGGCCAAAGCCCAGCUGCAGAUAAAACUAAUAUGGGACACCAAGGGUAAGAAGGAACAGCUGCAGCUCUCGCGGGAUGAAAACAUCAGGCUAAGCAAGCUGGUUUGUAAGCUCAAGGCUCUGAACUGUUGGAAGCAAAUCACUCAGAAGGCACAGCUCUCUGCAAAGCUUAGAGAUGCUGAGAAGGAAGCUCGUCAAAACAAAAAAGAGUGUCUGAAUGCUAAAAUGAUGGCAGAACAAGAGGUGACUUCAUUUCAGGGUCAGCCCACGUCUGUAAGGAAAGCUCUUGCAAAAUCUCAAGCAGACAAUGACAAGCUAAAGAAACAGCUACAGAAACAGGCAUCUGAAUCCAACAGGUCCUGAUUCAUCAGUGCAACAAGUAGAAUUCUCCUUUCCAUCUCACUUGCUUUAACGAGGAUUUUGCCUGCUGUUAUUCUAGGAGAGAAAUGGAUUCAAAACUGCCCACAUGACACAGUUACUGAAGCUGGAUGCGUUUUUUACGUCAUUGAAACAACAUGUUCAUCUGAGUGUUUUCACCAUUGGAGGUAGAGAGAACGAGGGAAAAAACUGUAGCAUCUCGGAUAAAGUUUGAGUCACGUACCAAAAUGACAGCUACAGGCACUACAUUUAUAUACACGAUCAACAGGGCUGGAUGUAUGUUUGAGUUGAGGAAAAGACAGUAUUAAUAUUUUAUUCUGCAGAUAAAAAAAAUAAAUUGCAGAUCUUGAGGUUAUUAGUCUUCCACCAAAUCAUUAAAUUUCAAGGAGACAUUCAGGGGUGUUGUCAUUAAAUCCAGAACAAAUUCAUUACAUGGUUUGAUUUGGUUUUUUUCCCCAUCUGAACACCUUCAUGGAUAUAUCACUGCCCCAGCAAGUUCCCUUUCAUUUCUACACAUGGCUACACAUGCUGAAAUAGCCCAUUCCUCAAAGUCAAACUGAAAAGCACACCCUUCACUUGCAAUAUACUUAAUGCCAAGCAACACGAUUGUAUGGAAAAUAAGCCUUGUCAAACCAACCUCAUUUCAUUCUCCUGAUAAGAUUACAAGUUAGAUAGAUAAGCAUAAUGCUAGAGAUGUAAUGCAUAUUUGGAAGGGCCUUGUAACACUUGAGUUAGCAGCACAUAACUUUCGUAUUUUAAAUGUUAGUAUUACACAAUAUCAAUAAAAAUGCUAAAUGGAUUGAGAGCUAGAUUUUUUUGACAUGUAAAGAUGUG